rnacentral:rRNA from 1 species
AAAGUUGUUGCAGUUAAAAAGCUCGUAGUUGAAUUUCGGGGUUAGUAGGUUGGUCAUGCCUCUGGUAUGUACUGGUCUCACUGAUUCCUCCUUCCUGAUGAACCGUAAUGCCAUUAAUUUGGUGUUGCGGGGAAUUUGGACUGUUACUUUGAAAAAAUUAGAGUGUUUAAAGCAAGCUAACGCUUGAAUACAUUAGCAUGGAAUAAUGAAAUAGGACGUUCGAUCCUAUUUUGUUGGUUUCUAGGAUUGACGUAAUGAUUAAUAGGGAUAGUUGGGGGCAUUAGUAUUCAAUUGUCAGAGGUGAAAUUCUUGGAUUUAUUGAAGACUAACUACUGCGAAAGCAUUUGCCAAGGAUGUUUUCAUUAAUCAAGAACGAAAGUUAGGGGAUCGAAGACGAUCAGAU